rnacentral:rRNA from 1 species
UUCUACAGCCAUGCUACACUGAACAAGCCCGAUCCUGCUUGAUCUCAGAAGCUAAGCAAGGUCAGGCCUGGAUAGUACUUGGAGGGGAGACCAUCUAGGAAGACCAGGUGGUGUAGGUG